rnacentral:rRNA from 1 species
UACGUAGGGGGCUAGCGUUGUCCGGAAUCAUUGGGCGUAAAGCGCGCGUAGGCGGCCAGAUAAGUCCGGUGUGAAAGUCAAAGGCUCAACCCUUUGAAUGCCGCUGGAAACUGCCUGGCUUGAGUCCGGAAGGGGCGAGUGGAAUUCCUGGUGUAGCGGUGAAAUGCGCAGAUAUCAGGGGAACACCCGUAGCGAAGGCGGCACGUCGUGGGCCGGUACUGACGCUGAGGAGCGAAAGCGUGGGGAGCAACAGG